AGGAAGCCUCCUUUCUUGCUGGCUGGCAGCCAAUGUCUCCACUCUGUGACUCUGUGAGCAGACAGUAGGAACUGAUCUUGUGCUUAGGGGGAGGUUUUAGCAUACAUUUUAUGGGAAAAAAGUAAAGAAGUAUCAGGAAGAACUGCAUUUUCCCUGUCAGUGUUGGAAGCAUCUGUGUGUUUCCCUUGAGGGAAGUCUACUGUGAUGCAACAGAACUGAAUACAGGUUGUAUCCAUGACAGACUGAAAUGAAAAACGUCAUCUGGAGAAAUUAGCAAAUAUGCUUUACCUCUGAAAUAUCACUAGGCUUUAAAGAAAAGUUUAAAUAUGAAGAGUGAAUAAUUUUGCUUUCAGUCCGCAAGUGCCUUUAAUUAAAAGAAGAGUGGAAGGAAGGAGAAAAACAUACAGGAAAAUACAGCAUAAGGAGUCAUUUUCUCACUCUCCACUGCCUUGACAAGAAUAAAAGACUGCUCUGUGUGCAGUCCUGUAGUCUGAGCCACUCCUUUCACAUCCUAGAGCUCUAUAGAACCAAAGGGGAUGAAUAAAGUGGGGAACUGAGCUGUCAUUUUCUUGUUCCAGGUCUGCUGACAUCUGACAGCAGCUACACAGGCAUCACUAAUCAUUUAGGUCAAUGUUUUGAAGUUGAUUACUAUGGAAAAAGGACUUCCACUGCACUGAGAUUCUCCAUUUCAUCAGCUGUUUUCCAUGUUGAAGAAAUAAAUCUGGAAUGUCAGUUUGAAUGGACUGUCUCUGCUUGUAACCGCAUGGAAACCAGCCAAGAAGAAUUGUUUCUUACAGCUAUCUUCCUCAGUAGCUUCCAGCUUCUUCCAGCUUUGCUCUGUCACUCAGCUGUGAAUCCAGCACCUGGAUCUCUGUGA
rnacentral:lncRNA from 1 species